rnacentral:rRNA from 1 species
UACGAAGGGGGCUAGCGUUGUUCGGAAUUACUGGGCGUAAAGCGCGCGCAGGCGGCUAUCCAAGUCAGUGGUGAAAGCCCGGAGCUCAACUCCGGAACUGCCAUUGAAACUGUUUAGCUUGAGUAUGAGAGAGGUGAGUGGAAUUCCCAGUGUAGAGGUGAAAUUCGUAGAUAUUGGGAAGAACAUCGGUGGCGAAGGCGGCUCACUGGCUCAUUACUGACGCUCAGGCGCGACAGCGUGGGGAUCAAACAGG